CUUUCACAUCAUGUCUCUUUCCCUGAUAGGAUCUUAGUGGACGAAUACACAGGGAGAGAAGUAAACGUUCACAUUCAAAGAAGCUCGAGAUCAGAAAAACAUCACAGCUGAGUCUGGACAGAACGUCACACUGACAUGUCAAGCUCCAAACAACAAAACAAUCAGAGUUGUAAAGUGGAGCAGAGCUGACCUGAAAGAUGAAUAUGUUCUUUUGUACCGGGAUGAUCAGUUUGUUCCAGAUGACCAGCAUCCAUCUUUUAAGAACCGGGUGGAUCUGCAGGACAGACAGAUGAAGGAUGGAGACGUGUCUUUGAUUCUGAAGAAUGUGACGAUUAAUGACGCUGGAAUUUACAGAUGUCGUAUUGUUGAGGGAGUCAGACAACCUAUGAAGCUGAUCAGCAUCAUCUACCUUCAUGUUGAUCCUCCAGGUCACACAAGAGGAUCUGUUGGCCUGAUCGUUGGUCUGUCAGUUUCUGCUGUGGUUCUUGUUGCUACUGUUGUUGGAUUUUUGAUGUACAGAAAACAUAAACAGCAGAAUCAGGAUCCAUACGAGCCUCCUGAGUAAUUGCAGCAUAUUUGAAAUGUCUUUGAGUGUUUUCGGUGAUGAUGUAAGAGAAGUAUCACUACGGUAAAAUGCAAAAUGGAGUUCAACUGCCAAAUAUCCAAUUUAAAAACCAAAGAGGUUGAGAACCAGGAGCUGCUGAUCUUUCAGCCUGAGACUUGCAACAUUUAAAAAAAUAACACACUUUAAAAUCUGUGGGUUUAGACUCUGAUGACAUCCUGCAAGGAUAAACAUUCAUUGUAUUCUCUAGUUUAAUGAGAUAAAAUGAUGAUAAAUGAUAAAAUGCCUAUUAGAUUAAGUUCAACAUUUUACAACAUUUUUACAUGUAAGUUUUUUACCUUUGAGCAGGUUUUUGUAAAACUAUACAUGAUAAUAAUAAUAAUUGUUAGUAGUAAGAUUACACUCUUACAUCUUAAACCAAGUUUUAUUUCUUUAGAUUUUGCUGUGGAAAUUAGAAGUUGCAGCAAUAUAUUGAAACAAGCAUACAUGGAAAUACAGCAGAUAAGGUGAAACCAGAGUUUGUACAGUUCUAAUAAGCUCUGUUUGUUUGACUGAUGGCCCUUAAUAUAAAGACUUUGGACUUUACGUUUCCCAAUUUUUGCUUUAAGUUAUUUUGUUAUUUACAUAAUAAUGUAGAUAACCUAAUAAUGAUCCUUAUUGC